GGCGUAAUAACUAGUUUGUGAAAGACCCAGAGAAACACAAAUAUACGAAGACGAAGCAAAAUCCCGGACGUUUUUGGAAUCUCUGCCGGACGCAUUUUUUAGAAAGCAACCAUGUAAUGCCUCAGGAGUCUGUAGAGGGGACGAAGACGCAUUCUGCUGCACUUAACAGAGCUCAAGACCAACGGGACGCCAUCAGGACGGCAUCAGGACGCCACGUCAUCGGGACGGCAUCAGGACACCACGUCAUCGGGACGCCAUCAGGACGCCGCAUCAACCCCUCAGGAGCAAAUCCAGAUCUACUCAUGAAACCCACACACACCCACACACACGUACACACACACACACACACACAGAGAUGUGCACACAGACACACUAACAUUUAGAUGUACACACAGACACACUAUCAUUUGGUUCUACACACAGACACGCACUAAUAUUUAGAUGUACACUAAGACACAAUAACAAUUAGAUGUACACAAAGACACAAUAACAAUUAGAUGUACACACAGACACACUAACAAUUAGAUGUACACACAGACACACUAACAUUUGGUUCUAAACAAAGACACACACUAACAUUUAGAUGUACACAAAGACACAUUAAUAUUUAGAUGUACACAAAGACACAAUAACAAUUAGAUCUACACACAGACACACUAACAAUUAGAUCUACACACAGACACACUAACAAUUAGAUGUACACCCAGACACAUCCUGAUGAUCCUCCUCACGUCUCUUCUCCUUGUCUGCAGACCAACAGGACACCAACAGGACGUCAUCAGGACGCCACGUCACCGGGACGCCAUCAGGACACCACGUCAUCGGGACGCCAUCAGGACGCCAUCAGGACGCCAUCAGGACGCCAUCAGGACGCCGCGUCAACCCCUCAGGAGCAAAUCCAGAUCUACUCAUGACACACACACACACACACAGAUGUACUCACAGACACACUAACAUUUGGUUCUAAACAAAGACACACACUAACAUUUAGAUGUACACAAAGACACAUUAAUAUUUAGAUAUAUACACAGACACACUAACAUUUUAGAUGUACACACAGACACACUAAGAAUUAGAUGUACACACAGACACACUAACAUUUGGUUCUAAACAAAGACAAACACUAACAUUUAGAUCUACAGACAGACACACUAACAAUUAGAUGUACACACAGACACAUCCUGAUGAUCCUCCUCACGUCUCUUCUCCUUGUCUGCAGACCAACAGGACGCCAUCAGAACGCCACGUCACCGGGACGCCAUCAGGACGCCGCGUCAAGCCCUCAGGAGCAAAUCCAGAUCUACUCAUGACACACACACACACACAGAUAUUAUUAUAUUAUUUAAUAUUAUUAUUAUUGUUAAAUAUGUCGUCUGUUUAUUAUUUUAACAAUGAAAAUACAUUUUAAUAAAAAUAAAACCAAAUUAA
ensembl:lncRNA